ensembl:lncRNA
AAGGGGAGGAGUUCACUUCCGGGUCAAGGGGAGGCACUGACGCUGUUUCCACAGGGGACAUUACUGUGGUUCCCUGUGCUGUACCGGAGGACCUUGCUCUUUGCCCAUCCUGUGUACAACAGUCUGCAUCUACUAACGCUCACCGCCCCCUCCAUCCGUCUCCAGGCCCUCCCCCUUGGAGGUGAUGUUCUUAAACGCCUUCCUGAACUAAUUUUGCUGCCUGUCACCCCUGCGAAUGAGUCCACCUGGGCAAGUCAGAUUUGCAAGAGGGCCCUCUCUACCGAGACAGGUCCCGAGAGGGCCCCUCACAGAACCAGUUUCAGACGGAGACCUCCUCGGGUUCCUCUUUUUCACACUCUAAGAGCCAGAAUGAGAUGGGGCAACCUGGGACCCCGUUUUUUUCUGUAUCAAUGUUCCUGAAUGAAAAAUGCUCGAAAAAUGAAUGUUAAACCCUUCGCCCAUGGAGGAAAGUUCAGUAUCUGCCUGAACACAAUGCUAACUUGGAAAAAAAAACACCUAUUUUGUGCUUUUCUGUAGUAAAAUCAGACGAGAGCUGAGCUCUGUUGGUUGUUGGUCAUGGACAUGACCCGGGUUUACACCUGUGAGCUCGGCGGGCCACAGGGGCUGAGGUGUGUGUCCUGUUAGCACCAUUUCAUCUAAAGUCUCUUCACUUGAGCCCCUGUCUAGGCAGAGCCCCUGUCUAGGCACAGCCCCUAACUGUUACCAAAGACUGUCUUCAAAGACCUGGAACAAUGGUGAACAUGUACGCGACCCUGCUCCCCACCAUCUGGGGAAGAAAAGGUAGGCCUCUUUUUCCUAAAAUAAUUGAGGGCAAGUCGAUAUUGUUUCUUUGGGUCUGUAGUUCAGCCUUGGCACUGAUCCUGUGUUACCAAGAGU